AUUGAACGCUGGCGGCAGGCCUAACACAUGCAAGUCGAGCGGCAGCGGGAAAGUAGCUUGCUACUUUUGCCGGCGAGCGGCGGACGGGUGAGUAAUGCCUGGGGAUCUGCCCAGUCGAGGGGGAUAACUACUGGAAACGGUAGCUAAUACCGCAUACGCCCUACGGGGGAAAGCAGGGGACCUUCGGGCCUUGCGCGAUUGGAUGAACCCGGGUGGGAUUAGCUAGUUGGGGAGGUAAUGGCUCACCAAGGCGACGAUCCCUAGCUGGUCUGAGAGGAUGAUCAGCCACACUGGAACUGAGACACGGUCCAGACUCCUACGGGAGGCAGCAGUGGGGAAUAUUGCACAAUGGGGGAAACCCUGAUGCAGCCAUGCCGCGUGUGUGAAGAAGGCCUUCGGGUUGUAAAGCACUUUCAGCGAGGAGGAAAGGUUGGUAGCUAAUAACUGCCAGCUGUGACGUUACUCGCAGAAGAAGCACCGGCUAACUCCGUGCCAGCCGCCGCCGUAAAAC
rnacentral:rRNA from 1 species